UUACUUGGAAAGAGGUGGGGUUCUAAAAUUUCAUUUCUGAAUCAAUUAAUUUGUUUGCCAUCCUUUCUUAUCGAUCCUCAGGCUCGUUUAACCAUAUCGCAUAGUCUUUCGCAUGCUAUCAAUAUUCAUACUUCAUUUAACCUAUUCAUAUGUUAUAACUUUAUUGAUCUUGAUCGAACUCAAAUCAAAUACAUAGAUUAAUGAACUUGUAUCCCAACCUAG
rnacentral:lncRNA from 1 species